rnacentral:lncRNA from 1 species
GCACAGCAAAGAAACUCAAUUCAGUAAAGCAAAAUGCUGUAACAAAGAAGUCAAUUGUGUGCUAAUGAUGUGGGAGCAAUAGUAUCUUAAACACACUGUGUGAAAUAAGUACUCACCAACAGAAGAGAACAUAACANNNNNNNNNNACGAAUGUCAUUGCUCAAGCAAUGUGUAAAAUGAUAAGUAACAAUAUAAGUAGAGAUACUUCUGAGCUGUGAAUUAUAUAAAAUGUC